rnacentral:rRNA from 1 species
AGCGAACGCUGGCGGCAGGCUUAACACAUGCAAGUCGAGCGGGCGUAGCAAUACGUCAGCGGCAGACGGGUGAGUAACGCGUGGGAACGUACCUUUUGGUUCGGAACAACACAGGGAAACUUGUGCUAAUACCGGAUAAGCCCUUACGGGGAAAGAUUUAUCGCCGAAGGAUCGGCCCGCGUCUGAUUAGCUAGUUGGUGAGGUAAUGGCUCACCAAGGCGACGAUCAGUAGCUGGUCUGAGAGGAUGAUCAGCCACAUUGGGACUGAGACACGGCCCAAACUCCUACGGGAGGCAGCAGUGGGGAAUAUUGGACAAUGGGCGCAAGCCUGAUCCAGCCAUGCCGCGUGAGUGAUGAAGGCCCUAGGGUUGUAAAGCUCUUUUGUGCGGGAAGAUAAUGACGGUACCGCAAGAAUAAGCCCCGGCUAACUUCGUGCCAGCCGCCGCUGUAACAC